GCCUGGGUGGCUCAGUCGGUUGAGCAUCUGGUUUCGGCUCAGGUCAUGAUCUCACGGUUCGUGGGUUCGAGCCCCGCGUCGGGCU
rnacentral:tRNA from 1 species